CUGGACUGAUUAGAAUUUCUAGCGUUUUAAUCACUCCAUAACCUUAAGCUAGACGCUUUUAAAAGGUGGUUCGCCUUUUAAACUAAGAAACAAGAACUCUUGAAACUACCUCAAGGUUUUAGAAAGUUGGACCAGAGCUAGUUUUAAGGCUAAAAAACUAACCAAUUUUCUAAGCAUUGUAGAAGUUUGUGUUUAGGACAAGAUUUUUGGACUGGGGUUCGAUUCCCCACAGCUCCACCA
rnacentral:tmRNA from 1 species